rnacentral:SRP_RNA from 1 species
ACCCCGUCAGGACCGGAAGGUAGCAGCGGUAAUGGGAUCUUGUGUGUGCCGUAUCCAACCUGACCGGA